UUAAGCGACUAAGCGUACACGGUGGAUGCCCUGGCAGUCAGAGGCGAUGAAGGACGUGCUAAUCUGCGAUAAGCGUCGGUAAGGUGAUAUGAACCGUUAUAACCGGCGAUUUCCGAAUGGGGAAACCCAGUGUGAUUCGUCACACUAUCAUUAACUGAAUCCAUAGGUUAAUGAGGCGAACCGGGGGAACUGAAACAUCUAAGUACCCCGAGGAAAAGAAAUCAACCGAGAUUCCCCCAGUAGCGGCGAGCGAACGGGGAGCAGCCCAGAGCCUGAAUCAGUGUGUGUGUUAGUGGAAGCGUCUGGAAAGGCGCGCGAUACAGGGUGACAGCCCCGUACACAAAAAUGCACAUACUGUGAGCUCGAUGAGUAGGGCGGGACACGUGGUAUCCUGUCUGAAUAUGGGGGGACCAUCCUCCAAGGCUAAAUACUCCUGACUGACCGAUAGUGAACCAGUACCGUGAGGGAAAGGCGAAAAGAACCCCGGCGAGGGGAGUGAAAAAGAACCUGAAACCGUGUACGUACAAGCAGUGGGAGCACGCUUAGGCGUGUGACUGCGUACCUUUUGUAUAAUGGGUCAGCGACUUAUAUUCUGUAGCAAGGUUAACCGAAUAGGGGAGCCGAAGGGAAACCGAGUCUUAACUGGGCGUUAAGUUGCAGGGUAUAGACCCGAAACCCGGUGAUCUAGCCAUGGGCAGGUUGAAGGUUGGGUAACACUAACUGGAGGACCGAACCGACUAAUGUCGAAAAAUUAGCGGAUGACUUGUGGCUGGGGGUGAAAGGCCAAUCAAACCGGGAGAUAGCUGGUUCUCCCCGAAAGCUAUUUAGGUAGCGCCUCGUGAAUUCAUCUCCGGGGGUAGAGCACUGUUUCGGCAAGGGGGUCAUCCCGACUUACCAACCCGAUGCAAACUGCGAAUACCGGAGAAUGUUAUCACGGGAGACACACGGCGGGUGCUAACGUCCGUCGUGAAGAGGGAAACAACCCAGACCGCCAGCUAAGGUCCCAAAGUCAUGGUUAAGUGGGAAACGAUGUGGGAAGGCCCAGACAGCCAGGAUGUUGGCUUAGAAGCAGCCAUCAUUUAAAGAAAGCGUAAUAGCUCACUGGUCGAGUCGGCCUGCGCGGAAGAUGUAACGGGGCUAAACCAUGCACCGAAGCUGCGGCAGCGACGCUGAUGCGUUGUUGGGUAGGGGAGCGUUCUGUAAGCCUGUGAAGGUGUGCUGUGAGGCAUGCUGGAGGUAUCAGAAGUGCGAAUGCUGACAUAAGUAACGAUAAAGCGGGUGAAAAGCCCGCUCGCCGGAAGACCAAGGGUUCCUGUCCAACGUUAAUCGGGGCAGGGUGAGUCGACCCCUAAGGCGAGGCCGAAAGGCGUAGUCGAUGGGAAACAGGUUAAUAUUCCUGUACUUGGUGUUACUGCGAAGGGGGGACGGAGAAGGCUAUGUUGGCCGGGCGACGGUUGUCCCGGUUUAAGCGUGUAGGCUGGUUUUCCAGGCAAAUCCGGAAAAUCAAGGCUGAGGCGUGAUGACGAGGCACUACGGUGCUGAAGCAACAAAUGCCCUGCUUCCAGGAAAAGCCUCUAAGCAUCAGGUAACAUCAAAUUGUACCCCAAACCGACACAGGUGGUCAGGUAGAGAAUACCAAGGCGCUUGAGAGAACUCGGGUGAAGGAACUAGGCAAAAUGGUGCCGUAACUUCGGGAGAAGGCACGCUGAUAUGUAGGUGAAGUCCCUCGCGGAUGGAGCUGAAAUCAGUCGAAGAUACCAGCUGGCUGCAACUGUUUAUUAAAAACACAGCACUGUGCAAACACGAAAGUGGACGUAUACGGUGUGACGCCUGCCCGGUGCCGGAAGGUUAAUUGAUGGGGUCAGCGCAAGCGAAGCUCUUGAUCGAAGCCCCGGUAAACGGCGGCCGUAACUAUAACGGUCCUAAGGUAGCGAAAUUCCUUGUCGGGUAAGUUCCGACCUGCACGAAUGGCGUAAUGAUGGCCAGGCUGUCUCCACCCGAGACUCAGUGAAAUUGAACUCGCUGUGAAGAUGCAGUGUACCCGCGGCAAGACGGAAAGACCCCGUGAACCUUUACUAUAGCUUGACACUGAACAUUGAGCCUUGAUGUGUAGGAUAGGUGGGAGGCUUUGAAGUGUGGACGCCAGUCUGCAUGGAGCCGGCCUUGAAAUACCACCCUUUAAUGUUUGAUGUUCUAACGUUGACCCGUGAUCCGGGUUGCGGACAGUGUCUGGUGGGUAGUUUGACUGGGGCGGUCUCCUCCUAAAGAGUAACGGAGGAGCACGAAGGUUGGCUAAUCCUGGUCGGACAUCAGGAGGUUAGUGCAAUGGCAUAAGCCAGCUUGACUGCGAGCGUGACGGCGCGAGCAGGUGCGAAAGCAGGUCAUAGUGAUCCGGUGGUUCUGAAUGGAAGGGCCAUCGCUCAACGGAUAAAAGGUACUCCGGGGAUAACAGGCUGAUACCGCCCAAGAGUUCAUAUCGACGGCGGUGUUUGGCACCUCGAUGUCGGCUCAUCACAUCCUGGGGCUGAAGUAGGUCCCAAGGGUAUGGCUGUUCGCCAUUUAAAGUGGUACGCGAGCUGGGUUUAGAACGUCGUGAGACAGUUCGGUCCCUAUCUGCCGUGGGCGCUGGAGAACUGAGGGGGGCUGCUCCUAGUACGAGAGGACCGGAGUGGACGCAUCACUGGUGUUCGGGUUGUCAUGCCAAUGGCACUGCCCGGUAGCUAAAUGCGGAAGAGAUAAGUGCUGAAAGCAUCUAAGCACGAAACUUGCCCCGAGAUGAGUUCUCCCUGACUCCUUGAGAGUCCUGAAGGAACGUUGAAGACGACGACGUUGAUAGGCCGGGUGUGUAAGCGCAGCGAUGCGUUGAGCUAACCGGUACUAAUGAACCGUGAGGCUUAACCUU
rnacentral:rRNA from 1 species